CCUACGGGGGGCUGCAGUGAGGAAUAUUGGUCAAUGGCCGGAAGGCUGAACCAGCCAUGCCGCGUGAAGGUCAGUGCCCUAUGGGCGUUAAACUUCUUUUGUGCGGGAGCAAUAAUGGUCACGUGUGGCCAGACGAGAGUACCGUACGAAUAAGCAUCGGCUAACUCCGUGCCAGCAGCCGCGGUAAUACGGGGGAUGCAAGCGUUAGCCGGAUUUAUUGGGGUUAAAGGGUGCGUAGGCUGUGAGGUAAGUCAGCGGUGAAAUGCCCCCGCUCAACGGGGUGAAGUGCCAUUGAUACUGCCUUGCUGGAAUGCGGAUGCCGUGGGAGGAAUGUGUGGCGUAGCGGUGAAAUGCAUAGAUAUCACACAGAACACCGAUUGAGAGGCAUCUCACGAAUCCGCGAUUGACGCUGAUGCACGAAAGCGUGGGUAUCAAACAGGAUUAGAUACCCCUGUAAUC
rnacentral:rRNA from 1 species